rnacentral:tRNA from 1 species
GCGGAUGUAGCUCAAUGGUAGAGUCCCAGUUUUCCAAACUGGUUGUUGCGGGUUCGAGUCCCGUCGUCCGCU